AGUGAACGCUGGCGGUAGGCCUAACACAUGCAAGUCGAACGGCAGCACAGUAAGAGCUUGCUCUUACGGGUGGCGAGUGGCGGACGGGUGAGGAAUACAUCGGAAUCUACUUUUUCGUGGGGGAUAACGUAGGGAAACUUACGCUAAUACCGCAUACGACCUACGGGUGAAAGCAGGGGAUCUUCGGACCUUGCGCGAUUGAAUGAGCCGAUGUCGGAUUAGCUAGUUGGCGGGGUAAAGGCCCACCAAGGCGACGAUCCGUAGCUGGUCUGAGAGGAUGAUCAGCCACACUGGAACUGAGACACGGUCCAGACUCCUAAGGGAGGCAGCAGUGGGGAAUAUUGGAAAAUGGGCGCAAGCCUGAUCCAGCCAUACCGCGUGGGUGAAGAAGGCCUUCGGGUUGUAAAGCCCUUUUGUUGGGAAAGAAAAGCAGCAGGUUAAUACCCCGCUGUUCUGACGGUACCCAAAGAAUAAGCACCGGCUAACUUCGUG
rnacentral:rRNA from 1 species